rnacentral:lncRNA from 1 species
GUGUGUCCCCAAGUGUCCCUGUCCCCUGUCUGGCUGUCCCAGAUGACUCCAUGUCCGGUCUGGGUGUCCCCAGGUGACCCCAUGCCGUGUCUGUGUGUCCCCAAGUGUCCCUGUCCCCUGUCUGUGUGUCCCCAAAUGUCCCCGUCCCCUGUCUGUGUGUCCUCAGGUGACCCUGUGUCCAGUCUGGGUGUCCCCAGGUGCCCCCAUGUCCGGUCUGGGUGUCCCCAAAUGUCCCCAUCCCCUGUCUGUGUGUCCCCAGGUGACCCCAUGCCAUGUCCGUGUGUCCCCAGGUGUCCCUGUCCGUGUGUCCCCAUGUGCCCCUGUCCCUGUCCGUGUGUCCCCAGCUGUCCCUUUGUCCCCAGUCGCCCUCCCGCGGUUGUGGCCGCGUGUCCCCAGCUGACCCCGCUCUGCGCUGUCACUCCCGGUGUCAGGUGACCCCUGGUGGCCCCGCUGUGUCCCCGCAGUGUCCCCAUGUCCCCGUGUCCCCUCGGGGCUCCGCUGUCACCUCUGCUGCGUGUCCCCGGUGGCCUCCUGCUGUCCCCAUGGGUGCUCAUUGCCCCAUAAGUGCCUCAUUGUCCCCACAGGUGCCAUGUGUCCCCAGUGGGUGCCUCGUUGUCCCCAGUGGGUGCUCAUUGUCCCCGUGGGUGCCUUACUGUCCCCCAUGGGUCCCUUAUGUCCCCCAUGGGUGCCUCGUUGUCCCCAUGGGUCUCUUGUGUCCCCAUGGGUGCCCAUUGUCCCCCUUAGUGCCUCAUUGUCCCCAUGGGUCCCUCGUGUCCCCAUGGGUGCCUGUUGUGCCCAUGGGUCCCUUAUGUCCCCCAUGGGUGCCUCAUUGUCCCCAUGGGUGCCCAUUGUCCCCCUAAGUGCCUCAUUGUCCCCAUGGGUCCCUUGUGUGCCCAUGGGUGCCCAUUGUCCCCAUGGGUGCCCAUUGUCCCCCUUAGUGCCUCAUUGUCCCCAUGGGUGCCCAUUGUCCCC